UACGAAGGGGGCUAGCGUUGUUCGGAGUUACUGGGCGUAAAGGGCGCGUAGGCGGCGCAUCAAGUCAGGCGUGAAAGCCCUGGGCUCACCCGGGAAUUGCGCUUGAGACUGGUGUGCUCGAGUACGGGGAGAGGAUAGUGGAAUUCCCGAGUGUAGAGGUGAAAUUCGUAGAUAUUGGGAAGAACACCAGUGGCGAAGGCGGGCUAAUCUGGACC
rnacentral:rRNA from 1 species